GGCCUGUAGCUCAGUGGCAGAGCGCUUGCCUAGCAUGCAUGAGGCACUGGGUUUGAUCCUCAGCACCA
rnacentral:tRNA from 1 species